CCUACGGGGGGCAGCAGUGAGGAAUAUUGGUCAAUGGACGAGAGUCUGAACCAGCCCAGUAGCGUGAAGGAUGACUGCCCUAUGGGUUGUAAACUUCUUUUAUAUGGGAAUAAAAUGUUCCACGUGUGGGAUUUUGUAUGUACCAUAUGAAUAAGGAUCGGCUAACUCCGUGCCAGCAGCCGCGGUAAUACGGAGGAUCCGAGCGUUAUCCGGAUUUAUUGGGUUUAAAGGGAGCGUAGGUGGAUUGUUAAGUCAGUUGUGAAAGUUUGCGGCUCAACCGUAAAAUUGCAGUUGAAACUGGCAGUCUUGAGUACAGUAGAGGUGGGCGGAAUUCGUGGUGUAGCGGUGAAAUGCUUAGAUAUCACGAAGAACUCCGAUUGCGAAGGCAGUUCACUGGACUGCAACUGACACUGAGGCUCGAAAGUGUGGGUAUCAAACAGGAUUAGAUACCCCAGUAGUC
rnacentral:rRNA from 1 species